GCUCCCAUAGCUCAGGUGGAUAGAGCACUAGUUUCCUAAACUGGGGACACAGGUUCGAAUCCUGUUGGGGGCA
rfam:Leptospira biflexa serovar Patoc strain &apos;Patoc 1 (Paris)&apos; chromosome I, complete sequence.